ACGCACGCUGGCGGCGUGCUUCACCCCUGCCAGUCGCACGGAAAGGCCCUGCUUUUGUGGGGUGCUCGAGUGGCGAACGGGUGAGUAACACGUGAGUAACCUGCCCUUGACUUUGGGAUAACUUCAGGAAACUGGGGCUAAUACCGGAUAGGAGCUCCUGCUGCAGGGUGGGGGUUGGAAAGUUUCGGCGGUUGGGGAUGGACUCGCGGCUUAUCAGCUUGUUGGUGGGGGAGUGGCUUACCAAGGCUUUGACGGGUAGCCGGCCUGAGAGGGUGACCGGCCACAUUGGGACUGAGAUACGGCCCAGACUCCUACGGGAGGCAGCAGUGGGGAAUAUUGCACAAUGGGCGGAAGCCUGAUGCAGCAACGCCGCGUGCGGGAUGACGGCCUUCGGGUUGUAAACCGCUUUCGCCUGUGACGAAGCGUGAGUGACGGUAAUGGGUAAAGAAGCACCGGCUAACUACGUG
rnacentral:rRNA from 1 species